UCGUGGAGUGAUUUGUCUGGUUAAUUCCGUUAACGGACGAGACCUUAACCUGCUAACUAGUUCCCGUCACCAGUCGUCCCAGACGACGCGGGAGACUUCUUAGAGGGACUAUGCCGUCGCGAAACGCAUGGAAGUUUGAGGCAAUAACA
rnacentral:rRNA from 1 species